UGCCUGUCGGAGGUGGAGUUCCAGAGCUCACAGGUGUGCCUGGCAUAGAUUGUGACUCCAUCUCGUUCCUCGCCAUUCUCCGCCUGACUCUCCGCCAAUGCCGCCUGGCUCUGGACUAAUGCAUCAGCUGUCGCCUGUAUCUCUGCCCUCAGAUAAUGUUUCUCUUUCUACUGGUCUGCCUUCAAUGACUCAAUCUCGUUCUUCAAGGUUUGAAUCUGAUCCAUGUGCACCUUCAUCAGAUGAGCAGAAUGGUACCGCCCUGAGCCCCCAUCGAUUACAGUGGUCUAUAAACAGCGAGACUAUUGAAUGAAUAUGAUGAGCGAUCGGCAAAGGCCAUCUGUAAUCUGAUGGCAUCACGGCACAACAUCAACAUCGCUCUAAUCACAGUCCAAAGACAGUAGAAGAAACUUGUGGGGACUUAUAGAAAGGCUCAGUAAGACAUGUUUUUUUAAUAUAUAUAUAUAUAUAUAUAUAUAUAUAUAUAUUAUUUUUUUCUAACAUUAACCAUGUGUGUUUGCAUGUUUUAAACCGUUCUGUAGUUUCGACCCGAUGAUUUGUCUGACAAACCAAGAACUUUGCGUCCUGCAGGCCCAGGCAUGGAUCAAAGCUGGCGAGACAUUCAUUGAUGUCAUCUUCACAGACAAAUCAACCGUGGUCCUUGAGCAAUUUGCAUCCAGUUCAACCCUAACUUUAGCCUCAACCGCAAGUCUAACCCUAGCUUCAUGUACACAUUCCGGUUCAAGCCUUACCCUAGCAUCAAACCUAAGCCUAAUCCUAAUCCUAUAUUUUAGCAGAGGCUCUUAUCCAGAGCAACUUGCGGGAGUAAUUAGGGUUAAGUGCCUUGCUCAAGGACACAUCAACAGAUGUUUAACCUAGUCAGGUCAGGGAUUUGAACCAGCAACCUUUCUGUUACUGACCCAACGCUCUUACCCACUAGGCUACCUUUCACUUUCAGUCCAGAACUAGGCUUAAUCUGUGUCCAGUAAACCACCCCUAUACUGUAUGUCUGUCUGUUCACACUAGACACUAGAGAGACUAACUCAAAAUUCCUGAUUUCGAAAAUGUGCAAGGCUUUGCUGAUGCAAAUGCUUAGUUAGUCAGAUCCUACAUUACCUCAACUUCUUAACCAGUGUUCUUAAAUGGCCUUCAGUAUCAAGGUCAGGAAGUCAUGUCCAUUGUAUGGUGUUCAGUGCCUUAUGAUGUGUUUUCACUGGAUACCACGUUGUCAUACAGCAUCUUCUAGAUAUCCCCUUUGUAUGUUUCUUCCGAACAGCAUGCAAAACAGCGCCUUGGCUGGUUGCCUAUCCAACAGCUAGCAAGACCUACCCUCCCUGCUCAUCGCUAAGCAACUUAGCUGAUGUUUUGAAUAAUGACUCCUCACCUCGACUAUUUAUACUCUUAUGGGUGUCAUUUGCCUACUUCCUCACAUUGCUCUUGCCUUAUCUCCAAUGUCCUUAGUGCUCUGCACAUUAAGGUUAGGAGAGAAGAAGAAAGCAUAUCAUAGACAUCUGUGGCUUUUUAUAAGAAUUGAGGAACAUGCCUUCCAGAACAUUUCAUGUGUUAGGUUUUAGAGACGUUCUUUUUUGGUCCUUAGUGCAUGUCUGACACUGCCUUUCAUGUAGUUGUGCCUUUGCCUGAUACUGUAAUCCAAGCCUUAACCUUUUACUGCAGUGGGCUAAAUCAGGGUCAGUGUUUCUAUGUAGUCUUAAACAAACCUACUUUGAAACAAAAGUAUACACCUCACACACAUGGUUAUGGGCUUUAAAAAAAGAAAACAAAAUAUAACAAGAUAUGUAAUGUAACAGUUGAAAUGUAUUACAUUUUGAGUUUGCAUCCCAAUAUUACACUUUAUAUACGUCACAAAAGAAAUAUAACAAAAUUGUUUGACAUAGAAACACCGGACCUUCAACAGGUUUUUUUAAAUAAUGUUUAUUAAUUAUGAAAUUAUGUAAAAUAUGAAUUACAUUCCACCCAUUAGGCCACUAGGUCAUUUGACUGCAAGAAAGGGCUAUGCACGGUGGCUACAAUAGCAAUAACUUGAACUUUCAUUGUUACUGUAAACUAUAUGAAACUUCAUGUCUCGAUUUUCAACCUGGACUCAGGGGUAGACGUAACAUAGUAAAUAUAAUUCUGGGAUACUCCAAUUAGUAUAUGUUAUGUUUCGUGUGGUAUGUAUUCAUUUGUGCAUGUCCAUCAUCCAUUUCGUAUGAUAUGUUACGAAUUGCAAUUCGUACAAUAUGUUAAAAAUUGAAAUUCAUACAAUAUGUUACGAAUUUGAAAAACGUAUAUGUUACGAAUUCCAAUUUGUUGUGGCUAACGUUAGCUGGGUGGCUAAUGCUAACGUUAGCUAGGUGGCUAACGUUAUCUAAGCUAAGGGUUAGGGUUAGGAGUUAGGUUAAAGGGUUAAGGUUAGGGAGAGGGGAAGGGUUAGCUAAAAAGUAGUAGGUAGUUGCUAAUUAGCUAACGUUGUCCGUGAUGAGAUUUGAAUAUGCAACAUUUGGGUUGCGAGAUGUUCGCAUUAUACGCCUACCCAUCCACCCUGACCAACCACCCUACUUUUGUUUUUGCCUUAAGUAACCAUCUGUCUUGUGUAACCAUACCAAACAUAACAUAUAGUAUCAUACUACAUGGAUUGUCUCAGAUUUAUGUACAGAAUAUUACGAAAUGCUCUGAGACCAGGUUGGACCCUGCGAUAGACUAGCCUCCUGUCCAAGGGGUGUACUUGUACAUCAAGCUGCCUCUCGCUACAGAAACAGGAGAUCGGCUCAUAGGGCAGGAGCCUUUCUCUCUCGCACAAGCCAAGGCUCAUGCAAGGUUAUACUUACUGUUUUGAUUUAUUGUAUUACUAUUUAUUGAUUGCACUUCAUACUUUAAAUGUGUAUUUUUAGAUUAUUCUAUAGGGCUCAUUUAAAAAAGAGACAUGGAUCUCAAUAUGAUUCCCUGUUGAAAUAAAGGUUAAAUAAAUAAA